UACGUAGGGGGCUAGCGUUGUCCGGAUUUAUUGGGCGUAAAGAGCGUGUAGGCGGCCAGGUAGGUCUGCUGUGAAAACUCGAGGCUCAACCUCGAGACGUCGGCGGAAACCAUCUGGCUAGAGUCCGGAAGAGGAGAGUGGAAUUCCUGGUGUAGCGGUGAAAUGCGCAGAUAUCAGGAAGAACACCCGUGGCGAAGGCGGCUCUCUGGGACGGUACUGACGCUGAGACGCGAAAGCGUGGGGAGCGUACAGG
rnacentral:rRNA from 1 species